UAUUAAAGUUGUUGCAGUUAAAAAGCUCGUAGUUGAAUAUCUGGUAUAACGUACCUGGCCCGCAGCCUUUAGGCUUGUGUGUGCCGGCGCACGUUUGCCAUCUUUCUAGAAAACGGGUCUGCCAUUAACUUGGUGGGUUCGGGAUCUAGAUCAUUUACUUUGAAAAAAUUAGAGUGUUUAAAGCAAGCAAUUGCUCUGAAUACAUUAGCAUGGAAUAAUAAUCUAGGACUUCGGUUCUAUUUUGUUGGUUUCUAAAACUGAAGUAAUGAUUGAUAGGGACAGUUGGGGGUGCUAGUAUUGGCCGGCCAGAGGUGAAAUUCUUGGACUCGGUCAAGACUAACUUAUGCGAAAGCAUUCACCAAGGAUGUCUUCUUUAAUCAAGAACGAAAGUUGGGGGAUCGAAGACGAUCAGAUACCGUCGUAGUCUCAACCAUAAACUAUGCCAACUAGGGAUGGGUGAACGUUGCUUUUUCGACUUCAUCCGCACCUUAUGAGAAAUCAAAGUCUUUGGGUUCCGGGGGGAGUAUGGUCGCAAGGCUGAAACUUAAAGGAAUUGACGGAAGGGCACCACCAGGAGUGGAGCCUGCGGCUUAAUUUGACUCAACACGGGAAAACUUACCAGGUCC
rnacentral:rRNA from 1 species